CUGCAGCCCGAGUGGUGGUCGAUAUUAUUGAGCCUAAAGCGUCCGUAGCCGGACUAGUAAAUUCUUGGGUAAAUCGGGCAGCUUAACUGUCCGACUUCCGAGGAGACUGCUAGUCUUGGGACUGGGAGAGGUCAGAGGUACUCCAGGGGUAGGGGCUAAAUCCUGUAAUCCUUGGGGGACCACCAGUGGCGAAGGCGUCUGACUAGAACGGAUCCGACGGCAAGGGACGAAACCCUGGGGCGCAAACCGGAUUAGAUACCCGAGUAGUCC
rnacentral:rRNA from 1 species